GAUGAACGCUGGCGGCGUGCCUAACACAUGCAAGUCGAACGAAGCACCUUACCUGAUUCUUCGGAUGAAAGUUUGGUGACUGAGUGGCGGACGGGUGAGUAACGCGUGGGUAACCUGCCCUGUACAGGGGGAUAACAGCUGGAAACGGCUGCUAAUACCGCAUAAGCGCACGAGGAGACAUCUCCUUGUGUGAAAAACUCCGGUGGUACAGGAUGGGCCCGCGUCUGAUUAGCUGGUUGGCAGGGUAACGGCCUACCAAGGCAACGAUCAGUAGCCGGUCUGAGAGGAUGAACGGCCACAUUGGAACUGAGACACGGUCCAAACACCUACGGGAGGCAGCAGUGGGGAAUAUUGCACAAUGGGGGAAACCCUGAUGCAGCAACGCCGCGUGAGUGAAGAAGUAUUUCGGUAUGUAAAGCUCUAUCAGCAGGGAAGAUAAUGACGGUACCUGACUAAGAAGCUCCGGCUAAAUACGUG
rnacentral:rRNA from 1 species